GCCCGGGUGGCGGAAUUGGUAGACGCGCUGGACUCAAAAUCCAGUGGUAGCAAUAUCGUGUGGGUUCGAUUCCCACCUCGGGUA
rnacentral:tRNA from 1 species